ACAUUUACCUGGCAGGGGAGAUGGCAUGAUCACAGGGUGGAUUUCCCAGAGUAAGGCUAAGGCCCUCUGGCUGUGUGGACCCCUGUAAUUCCCUCAUAUGUGGGAAACUCCACUGCAGAAAGUAUGGCAGCAGGAGCUACUUCACACUCUCCUA
rnacentral:snRNA from 1 species